UACGUAGGUGGCAAGCGUUGUCCGGAUUUACUGGGCGUAAAGAGCGCGCAGGCGGCCGAGUAAGUCGAAUGUGAAAGCCCCCGGCUCAACUGGGGAAGGUCAUUCGAUACUGUUCGGCUCGAAGAUAGGAGAGGGAAGCGGAAUUUCAGGUGUAGUGGUGAAAUGCGUAGAUAUCUGAAGGAACACCAGUGGCGAAGGCGGCUUUCUGGCCUAUUCUUGACGCUGAGGCGCGAAAGCUAGGGGAGCGAACGGG
rnacentral:rRNA from 1 species